rnacentral:snoRNA from 1 species
AAGACCUUACUUCAUAGGAUCAUUUCUAUAGUAAGCGCUUCCUGAGUCUUCCACAAUAUGUGAGACCAGCUCAAACCAGACAUGU